ensembl:antisense 1700027H10Rik RIKEN cDNA 1700027H10 gene
UACAUGACUGAUGGUCACAGAAUUAUGGAGCUGGAGCCUCUUGUAAAGAGCCUAGUUCCUGUGACAACAGGAGUAGGAGAAAAAUUGAAAAUUAAUUCCACAGAAAAUUCCAAAGGCUCAAAAAGUGAUCCAGCAAAUUAGCUGAGGAACAAGAUUGAAACUAAGUCACAAGCAGGAUUUUAAAAUGCCAUCAAGAAGUCAUUAGAUGCACAGUUGCCCCUAUCUACCUGCACAGGCCUGCUGAGAGCAAUUAGGUCCUACACGUGGCCACGAUGACUCCGCUGGAAAUCUAACACUCAGCUACACACAACUAACUGGAUGGCCAAGAUAAUGAAGUUGAAAAGUUGACGCUUUUGUUGGUCGACUCUGUGCAAAUCAUACUGCUUCGCGGUGGGAAGAAUUCAGCACACAUGCUGAUGUUCUUAGUUCCCUGACGUCCUUCUGUACAUACACAGCAUGAUCAAAGCCUCCUUGGAGAACUUCUCUUUUAGGUUUUCAUUUCUCAAAUGUAUUUUUAAAAGCCGUACAUCAGUAUGUGCAAUGAAUCAGUUGCCUGACACUGGAUAAAGGCUUUUUCUUCGCUGUGAUC